AAAUUGAAGAGUUUGAUCAUGGCUCAGAUUGAACGCUGGCGGCAGGCCUAACACAUGCAAGUCGAACGGUAACAGGAAUCAGCUUGCUGAUUCGCUGACGAGUGGCGGACGGGUGAGUAAUGUCUGGGAAACUGCCUGAUGGAGGGGGAUAACUACUGGAAACGGUAGCUAAUACCGCAUAAUGUCGCAAGACCAAAGAGGGGGACCUUCGGGCCUCUUGCCAUCGGAUGUGCCCAGAUGGGAUUAGCUUGUUGGUGGGGUAACGGCUCACCAAGGCGACGAUCCCUAGCUGGUCUGAGAGGAU
rnacentral:rRNA from 1 species